rnacentral:rRNA from 1 species
AUGAUGAUACUGAUGAUCGAAUCUCGGGCAAGUAAUAUACCGAUGACAAAGGGAACAAUGUAUGUUGUUAUGGUUGGCCAUACAAUCGCGAUUCAUAAUGGAAAGGAACAUAUACCUAUUUACAUAACAAAUCCUAUGGUAGGUCGCAAAUUGGGGGAUUUCGUGCCUACUCGGCAUUUCACGAGUUAUGAAAAUGCAAGAAAGGAUACUAAAUCUCGUCAUUAA